rnacentral:rRNA from 1 species
UACGUAGGGUGCGAGCGUUGUCCGGAAUUAUUGGGCGUAAAGAGCUCGUAGGCGGUGUGUCGCGUCGGCCGUGAAAACCUGCAGCUUAACUGUGGGCUUGCGGUCGAUACGGGCAUCACUGGAGUUCGGCAGGGGAGACUGGAAUUCCUGGUGUAGCGGUGAAAUGCGCAGAUAUCAGGAGGAACACCGGUGGCGAAGGCGGGUCUCUGGGCCAGUUCUGACGCUGAGGCGCGAAAGCGUGGGGAGCAAACAGG